rnacentral:rRNA from 1 species
GCGGCGGACGGGUGAGUAAUGCCUAGGAAUCUGCCUGGUAGUGGGGGACAACGUUUCGAAAGGAACGCUAAUACCGCAUACGUCCUACGGGAGAAAGCAGGGGACCUUCGGGCCUUGCGCUAUCAGAUGAGCCUAGGUCGGAUUAGCUAGUUGGUGAGGUAAUGGCUCACCAAGGCGACGAUCCGUAACUGGUCUGAGAGGAUGAUCAGUCACACUGGAACUGAGACACGGUCCAGACUCCUACGGGAGGCAGCAGUGGGGAAUAUUGGACAAUGGGCGAAAGCCUGAUCCAGCCAUGCCGCGUGUGUGAAGAAGGUCUUCGGAUUGUAAAGCACUUUAAGUUGGGAGGAAGGGUUGUAGAUUAAUACUCUGCAAUUUUGACGUUACCGACAGAAUAAGCACCGGCUAACUCUGUGCCAGCAGCCGCGGUAAUACAGAGGGUGCAAGCGUUAAUCGGAAUUACUGGGCGUAAAGCGCGCGUAGGUGGUUUGUUAAGUUGGAUGUGAAAUCCCCGGGCUCAACCUGGGAACUGCAUCCAAAACUGGCAAGCUAGAGUAUGGUAGAGGGUGGUGGAAUUUCCUGUGUAGCGGUGAAAUGCGUAGAUAUAGGAAGGAACACCAGUGGCGAAGGCGACCACCUGGACUGAUACUGACACUGAGGUGCGAAAGCGUGGGGAGCAAACAGGAUUAGAUACCCUGGUAGUCCACGCCGUAAACGAUGUCAACUAGCCGUUGGGAGCCUUGAGCUCUUAGUGGCGCAGCUAACGCAUUAAGUUGACCGCCUGGGGAGUACGGCCGCAAGGUUAAAACUCAAAUGAAUUGACGGGGGCCCGCACAAGCGGUGGAGCAUGUGGUUUAAUU